CGUCCCAGACCGAUAGCGAACAAGUAGAGUGAUCGAAAGAUGAAAAGCACUUUGAAAAGAGAGUUAAACAGCACGUGAAAUUGUUGAAAGGGAAGCGCUUGCGACCAGACUCGCCCGCGGGGUUCAGCCGGCAUUCGUGCCGGUGUACUUCCCCGUGGGCGGGCCAGCGUCGGUUUGGGCGGCCGGUCAAAGGCCCCUGGAAUGUAGUACCCUCCGGGGUACCUUAUAGCCAGGGGUGCAAUGCGGCCAGCCUGGACCGAGGAACGCGCUUC
rnacentral:rRNA from 1 species